rnacentral:lncRNA from 1 species
GUUUCCUGCUCUCUCUCCCUCCUUGUGGCCCUUCUAGCUGGCUCUGCCGGGGCAGCUGCAGAAGCUGGGCUCCCUGGUGAGUGGGGUGAAGGUUGAGACUCUGUGGAGCUUGCCCUCUGACAUCCUGUUGUCCUCGCUGCCUGACAUCGCCCUGCACACCCCCGGCUUCAACCCCCCACAGGCCAACACCAUCACCACCAAACUCUGGGUACGGCCUUAGAGGGACACACCAACACUGACCCCCAUCCUCACAAACAGCGACAUGCUCACUCAUACUAAAUGAAGACAAUCGACAAGGUACACAGUAACGUGGCUUCAGCCGUACGCUGCUACUCUUGGCUCAGUGGGAGGUAUGUUUACAAGGCUCUAUCAGUAUGCAUGCAUGACCAUAACCAAUGGAGAGUGAACAGAGAGGAGGAGAGAAAGGUGGAGUGUGGAGGGGGACCACAGCUGGCAUGCCCAGGUGUACCCAGGAUCCUUGCCCUGCCUGGCAGUCAGAUGGGGGUGAUGUGGCCCUGUCCCAGCUGGAGCUGUAUGCUCCAUAAGGACCAGAGCCAGGACUCACCAGAGGUGACUGGCUGGUUGGAUAAGGUGGAGCCCCUGCUCCACAGCACCCCUCUACUCAGUGUGCUGACCAGGGCUAGUCUGCUGUUGACCAACAGGACCUUGGCAGGAAGACGAGCCUGGAACACUCAGCAGGCUAAAACUCUUUUUAAAGAAGCAGUGAAGACCAUGCCCAAUCUUUCCACUGAGACGUUUCUUGCCCUUGGAAGCAUUGCCCAAGGUGUAAGCUACACAGCCCUGCGACAGCUCUUCCGGGACAAGCCAUCAUUUUCCUCAAUGCGGAGUGUCCUUGCAUUCAAGAAAGAGCAGUCUGUUCCUCUCAUUCCUCACUGAAAAAGUGCAUCAGCUGUACUACUUUGACUUCUUCUCUGAGCUGCUGGGAGAGUUUGGCGCUCAGAUCGCUCUGGCCCUGCCGUGAGUCGGUCUUACUGCCAUUAAUCAUCACUACAGAUGGUUUGAGCAUCAACAAUGCAUCACUGUCAACUUUGUGUGUGUGUUCCUGUGUGUGUGUGCAUGCUCUUGUCUGUGUGCAUUUGUGGUGUGAGCACUAUUAAGAAGUUCCCUGCUGACAUGGAUACUUUCAGUGACUCCCAUCACUUCCUGCUCCUACCCAGUACAAAACAGGAUAUUCUGGUGGACAAGAUGGAGCAGAGACUUGUCAGUACCCUCUCCUGUACCCCAUUACUGCCAACACAUUAAGCCUGGGGUUUAACUUUGGUGUCUUCGAUUUGAAAUCUUUGUUGAAAAUAAUCUACAGGUAUAAAUUGAAAAUGUUCUCUUCCCCCAGGGCAUGUACACAGGAGAGUUCACUGAGGAUGAGUUCCGCUCACUGGGCAUCAUGGCGACCUAUGUAGUGGAUGGGGUGUUUGUGCAGCUGGUGCCGAGCUUCUUUGUGGAGAGCCUGGAGUUCCUCAGAGUUCUGCUAUAACAGCAGCAAGAGGGACAUCGUCACACAGAUCCUACAGGAGCCAGGCACCUUCGGGUACUGUAGCACCCUCUUAAACAACCACCCCACAUUACAGCACACACCCCAUUUAACCUUUCGUGCGAACUCCUCUGUUUCCUCAAGUCAAAUGAAAAAUGAGCCUUUUUGUGCGCUCUUAGCCCCGUUCAGAACUGGACCCCUGAGACACUCAAUCAAGUGGACAUCCCAAAGAUACACUGCAGCAGAUUCCCCAGGUGUUUCCUGCUUUACUUUUCCCUCAGUCUUUAACACAUCCAUUUCCAUUAUUUAUUCAAGGUCAGUUCCUUUGUAAUUGAUUUGACCAUUGUCAUGAUUCAUUAAUUUGGGUGUCCUUAAAGUUAUUGAGAGGUGUUACAAUUGCUACACGACACCAGGAAUCAGGAAAGGAUGGAUUUGUAAAAGAAUCCUGCAGGUGUCCACUGACAGGACUCCUAGAGGUGUCCAGGUGCUAUGCUGCCUUGGCCUGUUGGCCCCUAGUCAGGCUGAUGACCCAGGGCCGUAUAGAGAGGCUGUUUCUGAGUCAGGGCCGGUGGGAGUCGGGUGCUGUCGGAGCCCUCUGCAUUCAGGGCUGGGACCAGGUUGAACAGACACAGCUGUUUGAGAGGCAGCAGUUAGUUCUUCAGUACUUCCUGGGUUUUCUCAAAGUGGGGCAGGUCACACGAGAGUGCCACUCUGUCUCACAUUGAGACAUCUGUCUUACAGUUGAAGUCUGAAGUUUACAUACACCUUAUCCUGAUAUAGUUAAACUCAGUUUUUCACAAUUCCUGACAUUUAAUCCUAGUAAAAAUUCCCUGUCUUAGGUCAGUUAGGAUCACCACUUUAUUUUAAGAAUGUGAAAUGUCAGAAUAAUAGUAGACAGAAUGAUUUGAUUUAUUUCAGCCAUCACAUUCCCAGUGGGUCAGAAGUUAACAUACUCAGUGUUUGGUAGCAUUGCCUUUUAAAUUGUUUAACUUGGGUCAAACGUUUCAGGUAGCCUUGCACAAGCUUCCCACAAUAAGUUGGAUGAAUUUUGGCCCAUUCCUCCUGACAGAGCUGGUGUAACUGAGUCAGGUUUGUAGGCCUCCUUGCUCGCACACGCUUUUUCAGUUCUGCCCACAAAUGUUCUAUAGGAUUGAGGUCAGGGCUUUGUGAUGGCCACUCCAAUACCUUGACUUUGUUGUUCUUAAGCCAUUUUGCCACAACUUUGGAAGUAUGCUUGGGGUCAUUAUCCAUUUGGAAGACCCAUUUGCGACCAAGCUUUAACUUCCCGACUGAAAUCUUGAUGUUGCCUCAAUAUAUCCACAUAAUUUUCCUCCCUCAUGAUGCCAUCUAUUUUGUGAAUUGCCCCAGCAGCAAAGCGCCCCCACAACAUGUUGCUGCCACCCCCGUGCUUCACGGUUGGGAUGGUGUUCUUCAGCUUGCAAGCCUCCCCCUUUUUCCUCCAAACAUAACGAUGGUCAUUAUGGCCAAACAGUUCUAUUUUUGUUUCAUCAGACCAGAGGACAUUUCUCUUAAAAGUACAAUCUUUGUCCCCAUGUGCAGUUGCAAACCGCAGUCUGGCUUUUUUCAUGGCAGUUUUGGAGCAGUUGCUUCUCAAGUUAGCGGCCUUUCAAGUUAUGUCGUAAUAGGACUCAUUUUACUGUGGAUAUAGAUAGUUUUGUACCUGUUUCCUCCAGCAUCUUCACAAGGUCCUUUGCUGUUUUUUUGGGAUUGAUUUGCACUUUUCGCACCACAGUACAUUCAUCUCUAGGAGACAGAACGCGUCUCCUUCCUAACCGGUAUGACGGCUGCAUGGUCCCAUGGUGUUUAUACUUGCGUACUAUUGUUUGUACAGAUGAACGUGGUACCUUCAGGCGUUUGGAAAUUGCUCCCAAGGAUGAACCAGACUUGUGGAGGUCUACAAUUUUUUUCUGAGGUCUUGGCUGAUUUCUUUUGAUUUUGCCAUGAUGUCAAGCAAAGAGGCACUGAGUUUGAAUGUAGCCUUGAAAUACAUCCACAGGUACACCUCCAAUUAACUCAAAUGAUGUCAAUUAGCCUAUCAGAAGCUUCUAAAGCCAUGACAUAAUUUUCUGGAAUUUUCCAAGCUGUUUAAAGGCACAGUCAACUUAGUGUAUGUAAACUUCUGAAACAGUGAAAUUAUAAGUGAAAUAAUCUGUCUGUAAACAAUUGUUGGAAAAAUUACUUGUCAUGCACAAAGGAGAAUUCCUAACCGACUUGCCAAAACUAUAGUUUGUUUACAAGAAAUUUGUGGAGUGGUUGAAAAACAAGUUUUAAUGACUCCAACUUAAGUGUAUGUAAACUUCCGACUUCAACUGUAGGUAAAGGUGACUCUUUCGGUCAGAAGCAUUCGAUUUUGCAAUGCAUACAUUAUUUUGGAUUUGUGUACCCAUGAAAACUGUUUUUACCCACAACAUAAGGAGAUACUAAAUUAUGUAGUUACACUGCAUUUCUGAGAUCACUAUACAAAAAAUUGUCCGACAGCUAGAUUCAGGAUUCUUACAGGGUUCAAGUGUAAUGGCUAAUUUAACUGAUUAAUGCUUAAUAUAUUAUGUAACAACAACUUACACUGCCAUAAAUGCAAGGACAGAAAAGUAAUGUUUUAUGUUAGACUAUUUUGUACAAAUCAGUCAAGACACCAACCAUGAUAAAAGGUUAAACAUACAGUAGGUUUAAAUAAAUGUGUGUUUUUUUACUAUAGCUAUGAUCCCCCCCUUAUCUUUAACGUAAUGACAUAAAAAAAAAAUUGGCAGAUUAUUAUUGAUUACUUACGAACAGCUGUAACAAGUUGUCCAGUGUAGGAAAUCCUCACUGGAACCCUAGUUUAUAGAAAAACCCAUAUAAACCCUGAUUUGAAGAUGCUAUGUAUUAGCCAAUGAGCGGCUUUGAAGCCACAGGUCGGCCAUAUUGGCACUCCCCAGAAGAAUCAGUCUGCCAAUGGAAUUCAAAGGAUUUCAAUGAAAUGUUUCAAAGACAAAAUUGCAUGUAUUUUUGUUGUUGUAGUGGGGACAAUAAAAUGUGUAUUUUCUAAAAUGUAUACUUUAAGGGGAAACUAAACAUCUAUAUAUUUUAUGUUAAGCUCACAUAAUAUAAUUUAAAGUAUGCAUUAAGGUGACUAAUAGAAUAAACAUGGCAAAAAUAAAUGUAGACAUUAAUAAAUGUAUUUCUAUUACUUCCAACACAUUUUUUUACUAUGAUAGGAGUGCCAAGAUGUGGGCGCGGUGGCUUCAAACACUAUAUAUAAUUCGCUGUAACUCACCUCUCCCCCUCCUGGCUGCGGUACGGCAGUUCUGUGGCUGGGCCAUGUGAGGCUGGCCUGUUCAGAAGAGGCUUUAACGGGACUGCUGAGCCACAGCCUGGCUUUUGGACCCAUAAGCUCCUGGAGCCCUGAGGUCUUCAUUGAGGUUGGAGCACUGUGUAAUGUACAUGAACACACACCUUUUGUAAUGUACAUUACACGCCUUUUGUUGUUUUGCUACCACAAAUAUGUCUAGUGCCUGAAAUUAGUUUCAAAUCCUCUUAUAACUGCAGCUGGCCUCCCAGAUAUGGCCAUGUCAUCUUUGGUGAAGGUUGAAGGACUUACACCAUUCUGGCUGUAAGUGUGCGGAUUCAAAAUGCCUAUGAUUCAAUAAGACAUGUCAGUUUAUCUUCCAUGUUUUGUAUUGCCACCUAUCAAAUUGUUGUUUUUCUUUGUGUUCAUGUGAAUUGUCCAGAUCAGCAUGUUCUCCUAUAAACAGCGCUUGCUUUUGUCACGUGUGCAGCUAUGUCUAUUUUUUUUAACUAGGCAAGUCAGUAAAAGCUUAUUUUCAAUGACGGCCUAGGAACAGUGGGUUGUUCAGGGGCAGAACGACAGAUUUUUCCUUGUCAGCUCGGGAUUCGAUCUUGCAAACUUCGGUUACUAGUCCAACGCUCUAACCACUAGGCUACCUGCCGCCCGAAAUGGUGCUCAACGUCUGGGGUGACAAACCUGUUGACUUCCGUGGUAAGUAACUUUCACCUGCUGAAAUGUUUCGAGUGUACACCAUUUUCUUACAUGAUUUUCAUAUGUGUGGCGGCCUAGGGAAACCCUAGGAAACCCAUAUCGUGAAAUGUUUAUUUUUUUUAAAGCUACAUUGAACAAAUACAAUAAUUAUCUUCUGUCACCUCAUCAUCUGCAGGUAGUGAAGGCCUGGUAGGUUUUAUAAAGUCUAGCUAAUACACUGUGUACUUACCUAGCGUAAUAUACCUUGCUUUCUCCUCAUUGAAGAUGCUCUCAGCUCUCCAUCCAUGAUGAGGUGACUGAAGAUAAUAAUUAUUGUAAAAUCGCUAGCAAGAAAUUGGUUGCGGCUCAAAAUGACAGAUAAUGACGUCCAAACUUACCAAGUUUUAGAAUAGGAUCUCAAUUGCUUUGUUACCUAAAAUCAAAAUAAUUCUGAACGGAUGAAAUUAAGGCAAUACUGUUUAUAUACUUUGAUCCAUUUUCAUGUCAUUUUGGCAGCGAACAGGCCAACCCACUGAUCAAGCAACAUCGGAAGAAUGUGUGCACUUCUUUUAUGAAGGCAUUUCAUCCGGGCUGGCCCUGUGCCCUAGUCCUCUCUGUCACCUUCUGGGACUGCUGAUGGUGCUGUUAGUUUCUGCUCUGUAAUGGCCUCCCCUUCUGAUGUGUAACCCCCUCACCCCCAAUGGGCCACGAGGACUCUCUCCCACACAACUACAAUGUUAAACAAUACGUGUAUUAUAUUUGAGUAGCCCUGCAAGCCUAUUGUAAUGGAUGGUUAUUUAUUGAUAUCAAAUUGGUCACAUACACAUAUUUAUCAGAUGUUAUUGCGGGUGUAGCAAAAAUGCUUGUGUUCCUAGCUCCAACAGUGCAGUAAUAUCUAACAAUACAAACAAAUCUAAAAAUAAAGAGUGGCAUUGGCUAAAAUACAGUAGAAUAGAAUACAGUAUAUACAUAUGCGAUGAGUAAAGCAGUAUGUAAAUGUAACAGUUUUGCUUCCGUCCCCUCCUUGCCCCGAACCAGGGACCCUCUGCACACAUCAACAACUACCUCCCACGAAGCAUCGUUAUCUAUCACUCCACAAAAGCCACGGCCCUUGCAUAGCAAGGGGAACAACUACUUCAAGGUCUCAGAGCGAGUGACGUCACCGAUUGAAACGCUUUAAGCGUGCACCCCGCUAACUAGCUAGCCAUUUCACACCGGUUACAUAAACAUUAUUAAAGUGACCAGUGAUUCCAUGUCUAUGUAUAUAGGGUAGCAGCCUCUAAGGUGCAGGGUUGAGUAACUGGCUAGUGAUGGCUAUUUAACAGUCUGAUGGCCUUGAUAGAAGCUGUUUUUCUGUCUCUCGGUCCCAGCUUUGAUGCACCUGUACUGACCUCGCCUUCUGAAGAGAUAUAUUUGCUAUUGGCCUAUUCUCUGAAUGAAGAAAAAAAUAUUUCUGCAUUUAUUUAUUGCACAUUGCCGUGUUGUAGUCUUCAGUUUAGGCUGACAAUUAUUUUGUUAGGUUUAAGGUUGAAUAAAAUUUUAUUUUAAUGAUUAAAUGUAAUUGUUUUAAAUGGAAAGUGCAGUGAUUUCUAUUAUUUGAGAAUUAAUAUGUUUCUAAAUUAUGUUUUGAAAUUCUUGUCUACCUGUAAAGUAUUUUGGCAACAAUUUACAUGGUGUACUUUAUAAAGGGUAUGUUAAUGGUUUAUAAGUAGUCCAGUAGAAUACUUUCUAAAGUUGUUAAGGGUUACCAAUAUUUCUGUAACACCAACAUAAUCUAGCCUAAAUAACACUCAUUGCAAAUCCUUUUGGGGUUUUUAUUCCAAGUAUUGUAAUUGCUGUGAGUUUUGUGUGAAUACUCAUGCAUGUUUUUUAAUAAAGAACUUCUACAUUGUAUUCCUUUAAUUUCGAUUUUUCUUUUGUCA